GAUGAACGCUGGCGGCGUGCCUAAUACAUGCAAGUCGAGCGAACAGAUGAGGAGCUUGCUCCUCUGACGUUAGCGGCGGACGGGUGAGUAACACGUGGAUAACCUACCUAUAAGACUGGGAGAACUUCGGGAAACCGGAGCUAAUACCGGAUAAUAUAUUGAACCGCAUGGUUCAAUAGUGAAAGACGGUUUUGCUGUCACUUAUAGAUGGAUCCGCGCCGCAUUAGCUAGUUGGUAAGGUAACGGCUUACCAAGGCAACGAUGCGUAGCCGACCUGAGAGGGUGAUCGGCCACACUGGAACUGAGACACGGUCCAGACUCCUACGGGAGGCAGCAGUAGGGAAUCUUCCGCAAUGGGCGAAAGCCUGACGGAGCAACGCCGCGUGAGUGAUGAAGGUCUUCGGAUCGUAAAACUCUGUUAUUAGGGAAGAACAAAUGUGUAAGUAACUAUGCACGUCUUGACGGUACCUAAUCAGAAAGCCACGGCUAACUACGUG
rnacentral:rRNA from 1 species